rnacentral:rRNA from 1 species
GCUGGCGGCGUGCCUAACACAUGCAAGUCGAACGCGCUCCAUUCGGUAGCAAUACUGAUGAAGAGCGAGUGGCGAACGGGUGAGUAGCACGUGAGCAACCUGCCCCGAAGACUGGGACAACACCGGGAAACCGGUGCUAAUACCGGAUAUCCCUAUCGGACCGCAUGAUCUGAUAAGGAAAUGGAUUCCGCUUCGGGAGGGGCUCGCGGCCUAUCAGCUAGUUGGUGGGGUAACGGCCCACCAAGGCAUCGACGGGUAGCUGGUCUGAGAGGACGAGCAGCCACACUGGGACUGAGACACGGCCCAGACUCCUACGGGAGGCAGCAGUGGGGAAUCUUGCGCAAUGGGCGAAAGCCUGACGCAGCAACGCCGCGUGGAGGACGAAGGCUUUCUGAGUUGUAAACUCCUUUCAGCAGGGACGAUAGUGACGGUACCUGCAGAAGAAGCACCGGCCAACUACGUGCCAGCAGCCGCGGUGAUACGUAGGGUGCAAGCGUUGUCCGGAUUUAUUGGGCGUAAAGAGCUCGUAGGCGGUUUGAUAAGUCGGGUGUGAAACCUCCAGGCUCAACCUGGAGCCGCCACUCGAUACUGUCAUAA